rnacentral:rRNA from 1 species
CCUACGGGAGGCAGCAGUAGGGAAUCUUCCGCAAUGGACGAAAGUCUGACGGAGCAACGCCGCGUGAACGAUGAAGGCCUUCGGGUCGUAAAGUUCUGUUGUUAGGGAAGAACAAGUGCUAGUUGAAUAAGCUGGCACCUUGACGGUACCUAACCAGAAGGCCACGGCUAACUACGUGCCAGCAGCCGCGGUAAUACGUAGGUGGCAAGCGUUGUCCGGAAUUAUUGGGCGUAAAGCGCGCGCAGGCGGUUUCUUAAGUCUGAUGUGAAAGCCCCCGGCUCAACCGGGGAGGGUCAUUGGAAACUGGGAAACUUGAGUGCAGAAGAGGAAAGUGGAAUUCCAAGUGUAGCGGUGAAAUGCGUAGAGAUUUGGAGGAACACCAGUGGCGAAGGCGACUUUCUGGUCUGUAACUGACGCUGAGGCGCGAAAGCGUGGGGAGCAAACAGGAUUAGAUACCCUGGUAGUCCACGCUGUAAACGAUGAGUGCUAAGUGUUAGAGGGUUUCCGCCCUUUAGUGCUGAAGUUAACGCAUUAAGCACUCCGCCUGGGGAGUACGGUCGCAAGACUGAAACUUANANAGUAGUGAGAGAGAGACGAGCGACGACGACGAGAGGAG